CAACCCCCUCGUCGCCGCCUCCUCCUUCCUCCAGCACCACCUCUCCAACCUCGCCUCUCGCUUCGCCGCCCCGUGCUCGCCGUGGCGCUCCCAUCGAGGCCCCAUAGUGCCGCCCAGUCCCUCGCGCUCGGGCUCGACGAGGUCAUGCGCGCGCUCACCGGCACGCCCGUCUGCAACUCCAGCAACUAGUUCGUGCUCGUCUCCACUCCCUCAGCCUCCUCUGCUUCCGCUCCAAGGACGCCGACGCCCUCCUCUCCGUCGAAGGUCGCCGAAACCACGACGGCCGGUGUGCCCCUGCGUGAGGAGACAACGACGACCCCGACAAGCCCUCCAAGGCCAGCAAGAAGGCCACCACCAAGGACGACCAGCCGCCCCAGCACCAGCAGCAAUACCUCCAAGGUUCGUGAAGAGUGCUGAUCUGGUUUUGUGAAGGAAGGGCGAGAAGAUUAUGUGGGGAUCAGGUUGUCCAUGGCGACCUAGGAGGAGCAGCACCAUCUCAGGUUGCUCCGAUCUGGUUGUGUGAAGGAACAUGCAAGGUCUGCUACUGCUCUUGUGCUCCCUUGAACGAUCUGGUGAAGGACAAUUUGGUCCAUAGGUCGUCCCCCCAUGAUAUCUCUCUCUGCUGCAUAGUUAGGUUCAGUUUUUUUUUUGUUCUCUUUCUAGUUUAAGCGUAAGCAUAUUCCAGUAAGUCUCUAUGUAUGUGGCUCAUGAGUUAGAACAUCUAAUCUAAUUACG